CACGUAGGGCGCGAGCGUUGUCCGGAAUUAUUGGGCGUAAAGAGCUCGUAGGCGGCCUGUUGCGUCCGCUGUGAAAGCCCGGGGCUUAACCCCGGGUCGGCAGUGGAUACGGGCAGGCUAGAGGUAGGUAGGGGAGAAUGGAAUUCCCGGUGUAGCGGUGAAAUGCUUAGAUAUGACAUAGAACACCAAUUGCGAAGGCAGCUGGCUACGCAUAUAUUGACACUGAGGCACGAAAGCGUGGGGAUCAAACAGG
rnacentral:rRNA from 1 species